rnacentral:rRNA from 1 species
GAUGAACGCUGGCGGCGUGCCUAAUACAUGCAAGUCGAGCGAACGGACGAGAAGCUUGCUACUCUGAUGUUAGCGGCGGACGGGUGAGUAACACGUGGAUAACCUACCUAUAAGACUGGGAUAACUUCGGGAAACCGGAGCUAAUACCGGAUAAUAUUUUGAACCGCAUGGUUCAAAAGUAAAAGACGGUCUUGCUGUCACUUAUAGAUGGAUCCGCGCUGCAUUAGCUAGUUGGUAAGGUAACGGCUUACCAAGGCAACGAUGCAUAGCCGACCUGAGAGGGUGAUCGGCCACACUGGAACUGAGACACGGUCCAGACUCCUACGGGAGGCAGCAGUAGGGAAUCUUCCGCAAUGGGCGAAAGCCUGACGGAGCAACGCCGCGUGAGUGAUGAAGGUCUUCGGAUCGUAAAACUCUGUUAUUAGGGAAGAACAUAUGUGUAAGUAACUGUGCACAUCUUGACGGUACCUAAUCAGAAAGCCACGGCUAACUACGUG